rnacentral:misc_RNA from 1 species
UCUCCGUUGGUGAACCAGCGGAGGGAUCAUUACCGAGUUUACAACUCGCAAACCCAAUGUGAACGUUACCAAACUGUUGCCUCGGCGGGGUCACGCCCCGGGUGCGUCGCAGCCCCGGAACCAGGCGCCCGCCGGAGGAACCAACCAAACUCUUUCUGUAGUCCCCUCGCGGACGUUAUUUCUUACAGCUCUGAGCAAAAAUUCAAAAUGAAUCAAAACUUUCAACAACGGAUCUCUUGGUUCUG